rnacentral:rRNA from 1 species
UACGUAGGGCGCAAGCGUUAUCCGGAAUUAUUGGGCGUAAAGAGCUCGUAGGCGGUUUGUCGCGUCUGCUGUGAAAGACCGGGGCUCAACUCCGGUUCUGCAGUGGGUACGGGGCAGACUAGAGUGAUGUAGGGGAGACUGGAAUUCCUGGUGUAGCGGUGAAAUGCGCAGAUAUCAGGAGGAACACCGAUGGCGAAGGCAGGUCUCUGGGCAUUAACUGACGCUGAGGAGCGAAAGCAUGGGGGAGCGAACAGG